UACGGGGGGGGCAAGCGUUGUUCGGAAUUACUGGGCGUAAAGGGCGCGUAGGCGGUUCGCUAAGUUGAAUGUGAAAACUCUGGGCUUAACCCAGAGCCUGCAUCCAAAACUGGCGAACUGGAGUACUGGAGGGGAAAGCGGAAUUCCUGGUGUAGCGGUGAAAUGCGCAGAUAUCAGGAAGAACACCCGUGGCGAAGGCGGCUCUCUGGGACGGUACUGACGCUGAGACGCGAAAGCGUGGGGAGCGAACAGG
rnacentral:rRNA from 1 species